CAUUAAGAAGCUAAACGGAGUAGCGUUAGCCUUUUAAGCUAAAGAUUGGUGGCUCCUAACCACCCUUAGUGA
rnacentral:tRNA from 2 species